UGGUGGAGUGAUUUGUCAGGUUAAUUCCCUUAACGAACGAGAUCUUCACUUGCUAACUAGUCGCAGCUAAAACCUAGCUGUAGACUUCUUAGAAGGACUACGAUUCUAAAAUCGUGGAAGUUGGAGGCAAUAACA
rnacentral:rRNA from 1 species